CUGAAUAUCAUUAGCCUGCCUCUCCCCAGGCCCACAGCUGAUUGAAUGUAAUUAGCAAUUAAUUGGAUGUCUGUGAAGAGACUACUUGAGAAACAUGCUGAGGUCAGGUGUGGACAGCUGUAGUGCUGUGACUCAUUCUCCCUCCCUGCACGUGGCAUUUCCUCUUGCUGGAGAGUGUGCAGUCACUCCUUCAUUCAUUUACUCAAGGCACACCUACCCAUGCCGGCUGCAGUCACUAGGCUGCACAGUAGGUCACCGGGCUGCACUGAAGGCUGGGAGGCUCUGCUUUCACUGACAGGGGUGCUAGAGAGAAAGGAGGGAGAGGCAGAUGAACCACAUUGUUUCAGAGAGUGAUAAGUGCUGCAAAGAACAAAAGACAGCAAACAGACAGCAAGAACAGUGAAACAAAUGAGAGACAUUGGGCCACAGCAAGAAAGGGCAGCAAGCGACUUUCUAGAUGAGGGGGGGAGUGGGACUGUCCUCAGGCCCUUAGGAUCUGGAGGCACAGGACAGAAUGUCCUCGAGUGUGUCCUGUUGGGAGGCUGCAGCCUGAGGUGGAGAUCUUGAGGACAUGUUCUGCAGUGUCCUUGGCCACUCAUUUCUUCAUUCAUUCAACAGAUGUUUAUUGCUGGUCUGUAAGUCCCAGGUACUAGUCCAGGCUUUAAAGGAACAUUAGUGAACAAGAUACCCACCUCCCCCGUACCCCUGGAUCCUUAUUUUCUGUUGGGGACAAAUGGACCAAAAAAACCCCCAAAAACAACCAAUAAUUUUUACGCCAUGUUAGGUGAGUGCUAUGCAGGAGAAACAAUGUGAGGGUUUGGAGGUUAUGGGCUGCAGUGAUCAAGAGAGGGUGGUCAACACCGGCCAAGCAGAGGAGGUGAAAUUGACCAGAGACCUGAAUGAGGACAGGACUCAGCCAUGUGACUCCGGGGAAGAAGACUGCAGCCCGGCGAACAGGGAGGCUUGAGCAGGCUGCAUGUCUGUAGGAGGAAGGCAAAGGCAGGUGGGCUCUGGAGGCCCCAGGAUCUGAGAGAGCUCAGCCCGUGCACAAAGCAUCCCAGCAAGAUGUGGGAGAG
rnacentral:lncRNA from 1 species